GGGGUUCAAACUGUUUUUUUAAUCUCGUUGAUUUAACGUUGAUUUUGUCUUUGUUAUAUAAACAUAAUGCACUAUACAUUACACUCAGUUAUAUGGAAAAGCGUCGAGCAUUAGUUUUCGAACAAAACGAUUAGAGGAGACUAAAUUAUAUCGACCCCUCCAAAUCUUAUCAAAAUCUUAUCUUCAUCAUUAAAAAUGAUCGAAUCUCUUUGUAUCAAGAUUUUUUAUUUAG
rnacentral:lncRNA from 1 species